rnacentral:lncRNA from 1 species
UUCAGGCAAGGCCAAGGCUUCUUGAAAGGCUGGUCAUGCCCCAGUGAUCAAUGAAGAACUCAGGGAUAUCCCAAAACUCAGGACUAUAAGGCACAAUGGGGGAGCAGGUACCAGGUGGCCAGCAUCCUAAAUGACUCUCAGCAGCUGCAGAGAACAUUCUCAUAAAAGAGAAUCAGUCAUCCUGAGUGUAAAUAACAAGAGCUGCCUAUAAAUCUACCUCAGAAGACAAAGGGAAAAGCAAAACUCUGCCCAGGAAGACCUUACUUUACAAACCAGCUCAACCAUAUUUACCAGCCUUCCUGUGGUCAUUUGUCUGAGCUCCAGCUAGUGAAGUAUGAGUAGAACGGACAUGCACCACUUCCAGACCUGGCACCGGCAAACCCCCCAUGGCAACCCUCCAACCCUUUCCUCAACAACUGGACCACGCUGGAAAGGACUGAGGAUCUAGAGGAGGACAGGGCUGUAAUAUGGAAGGAGUUUGGUUUCUGAAGGACCAUGUAGCAGGCCACCUGCAGGGCGGGAACAUCUUUAAUAGGUUUGGAAUAGCAAGAAAUAAACUGGUCUUGUAUUAAACAACUAA